CCCUACUGGGGAUGUGCCCGCAACCAAGGUACAUGCCCUUGACUGGAAUCGAACCCGGGACCCUUCAGUCCACAGACUGACGCUCUAUCCACUGAGCCAAACUCGUCAGGGCCAUUCGCAUUUCUUAAAGUCCCAUCGUCUGACCGUGGCUAUGUGAGCUCAUGCGACAGAUGCUGGUGAGAAAGCAAAAGGGUCCAUGUCGGGUGGGCCUCCUGGGAAGAGCCUCUUGUCUCAGAGCCCUUCCCCCGUGACCAGCUCAGAGCAGGCAGAGAAUUUACAAGGAGAGAGAGGAAGGCAGAACAAGGACACCAGGGCAGGGCUGUACGUGGAGACCAGCACGAAACACGCCGAUAAGCAUCUGGAGACCUGUCCAGGGUGGUCUGGAGUGCGUCAUGCUGGUCAGCAGGUCUCUGGGAACUGGGAGGCUGAAGGCCACACUCUGCGUGUUUUCAAGUCAGUUCCCAGGGUCCUUACACAAACACGCUGGUUAUCUACCAGCCACAUUACAGAAGGAAUGUCGGCAGGAUGGCGGGUGGGUUACAACUUCCUACUGUACAUCCAGUGACUCCCAUCUGAGGAAUUUCCUUUACACCCCGAGGGAAAUAGUGGAGGGGGGUGUGAGGGGUCAUCUCAUCUCUGUGGGAUUUGUAAACUCCAGCCCCCACCGGACAGGCUCAGGGAGCGGUGGGCCUCCCGUGGGCCAGGCCAGUUGGGAGAAGACCCCACACGAGUGGCUUUCGUGCAGGCCUCGUGUGCCAAACCCAAUGGUGGGACAAGCCUGGUCGGGGGAAUCCACCUCUGUCCUGGGAGCCUUGUCAGCACCUCCUUCUUUGGAGUCAAGCCCUCUCUCACCUGCCCUGGCCCAGCCCUCCAACCCUCGCCCCUGCCAUCUGUUCUGCAGACGCGUUCUGUUCCAUGGCGGCCAGUUCUUUCUUGGUAAACUCGGCCUCUGUGUGGAGUUUAAAUAAUGUCCCUGCUUGGCGACCUUCUGAGUCGGAACCGGCGGUGGAACAUUUAGGUGAGAGAAGCCAGAGCCACGGUGGAGGGAGAAGGUUAGAGAGGAGCGCCUGCGGGUACUAGUGCCAGUGGCCCGUCACCCGGAGAGAAGGCCCACUGGGCCUGGGAGGAGAGACCCUCUGAUGUGAACCUUCGUUUGCUUUGGGUCCUCCCUGAGUAGGGAGUUGGGCCGGGGAUGGAAUUAGAA